ACGGAAGGUCCAGGCGUUAUCCGGAUUUAUUGGGUUUAAAGGGAGCGCAGGCGGACCUUUAAGUCAGCUGUGAAAUACGGCGGCUCAACCGUCGAACUGCAGUUGAUACUGGAGGUCUUGAGUGCACACAGGGAUACUGGAAUUCAUGGUGUAGCGGUGAAAUGCUCAGAUAUCAUGAAGAACUCCGAUCGCGAAGGCAGGUAUCCGGGGUGCAACUGACGCUGAGGCUCGAAAGUGCGGGUAUCAAACAG
rnacentral:rRNA from 2 species